GACGAACGCUGGCGGCGCGCUUAAUACAUGCAAGUCGAACGGUGAACGGGGCUUCGGCCCCGGGAUCAGUGGCGAACGGGUGCGUAACACGUGGGCAACCUGCCCCUCACUCUGGGAUAACCCCGGGAAACCGGAGCUAAUACCGGAUACUCCGCGCGAGCCGCAUGGCUCGAACGGGAAAGGUCCGCCGGUGAGGGAUGGGCCCGCGGCCUAUCAGCUUGUUGGUGAGGUAACGGCUCACCAAGGCUUCGACGGGUAGCUGGUCUGAGAGGACGACCAGCCACACUGGGACUGAGAUACGGCCCAGACUCCUACGGGAGGCAGCAGUAGGGAAUCUUGCGCAAUGGGCGAAAGCCUGACGCAGCGACGCCGCGUGGGGGAUGAAGGCCCUCGGGUUGUAAACCCCUUUCGGCAGGGACGAAGCGAUCGUGACGGUACCUGCAGAAGAAGCCUCGGCUAACUACGUGCCAGCAGCCGCCGCGGUAA
rnacentral:rRNA from 1 species